UCCUUCUAGUCUCUCGCAAUGUUAUCUUUGAAGAAUCGAGUUAACGUACGUCCAGUAAAACAGUAUCUUCAUCAAAAGAUGACAUUUCUUGUUGAUAAAGCUGUUUCAAGAAAUUUUGUAAAUAAAUUUAGCAGCAUAGAACAUCGGUAACCACUACGCUGAGGAGGCUUUUGGUUGAGUUGGCGAUUUUAAUUAAAUUUCCCUUUUAUUUUGAUACUUACGCGUACGUAACGAGAUUCCAUGAUACCUCUUGACACACAUACCUUUAAACAGUAAUUAGUAAACGUACCAAAUGAAGUAACGAAACGAAAAAGAGGCUAUAAUGACUGGCGUCUCAUUUUGUCGCAGUGAAACUCAUCUACCUAUCUGUUUUAUCAAGGCCACCGAAGAAACAAGGCAAUUGGACCUAAAACCCAGCAAAGAUUAUUGCCCUUUAUCUAUCAGUAAUCAGUCGAAACUGAACAAAAUUGUGGUUUUAUAAAAAAAAGGUCUACCAGACGGAGUUGGAAUGUGUUGAAUUUGACAUAGACACAAAGGUAAAUCGAUGUUACUUCAGGGUACCAAGAAAAAUCAAGUAGACGAAACCUUUAGGACGUUUGACAUUCCAGAUCAGUGUGAUUUGGAAAGAAUUAAGGCAGGAUACCACUCCAACGACGUCUUGUGUAUUCGUUUUCCUUCAAGAAAUGAGCUGGUUGUUAAAGUAUGGACAAAUAAAAAUGUCAAAAGUUUUUGAUAAUUUAAUACCUAAAUGAAAAAAAUAAAAAAACUAAAAG